rnacentral:lncRNA from 1 species
CUGCAUUCCAAAGCAAGAAGAAAGUAAUCACUAAGGAAAAUCUAACAAUUCUGACUCAAGGGGUCGUCUAGGGCACCGCCUGGCGGCAUAAAGGGUAUUAGAUCUGGGGGUGGGCGGAUGGGGACACGUAAGGGAAGACAGGAGAUGCUUGGAAAGAGGAGCAGAAAAUGGGAACAACCCUAAGGAUGCUCUGCAAGUGGGAUGAAGGACAGCUAAGACCUCUGGUUAGGAGCUGUGGUGUAAGGGAGUAAGACUCCGGCCGCACGGGGAGGAAGGGGGAGAAGGAAAACAGGAAAAGGGAAGGGGCAAGCGGCAAGCAAGAAAGGAUGACAGGGGCCAAGCAAGGGAGAGAGGUCAGGAGUAACAGGGGAGAAAGUUCAGCUGCUCUAGUCGGCCUGAGGCUGGCUCCUUGGUCUCUGGGGCUGUGGCCUCUGACCUGUCUGUACAGAGAGUUCCAGCAAGAACAGCUUUACUUGGUGCAGUGAACCACUAUCUACUUCCAAUGGUCAUUUGUGGUGCUGGAGACUCCGGACUUCACAUCAAGCCUUUAUAGAACUAAAUCAGCUCUGUGGCCUUUAUUUCCUUCCUGCUUGGCUGAUCCAGGACCCCAGGAAGCCAGGCUUCCUGUCACGAUCAGUUCGAGGACGGCCUGCAGAAAUGCACACUCAGCAGAGCGGCGCUCGCCACGGGAGAGGCUGCGAAAGGUCAGAGAACUCGGGGCAGACGCAGACCCACGGAGGAGCCCGUGCACGUUCACACAAACACGCCGAACGUCCCUGCCGGGCGGAGGGAAGGAAAGGUGGUGGAUGCAAGACUGAAAAGCAAAAACAACAUGGGUGAGCCUGGAGGACAUGACCGUAAGUGAAAGGAGCCAGACACAGAAAGAUGGAUACUGCGUGACCUCCUUUAAAUAUGGACUCUAAAAAAAGUCAAACUUCUAGAACCAGAGUGGAAUGGUCGUUGCCAGGGACUGCAGCCAGGGUGGGGGGAAGCGGGGAGAUAUUUGUCAAAGGACCUAAACUUUCCUCAGUUUCCUAAGAUGACUAGGUCUGGGGGUCUGCUGUAUGGUGUGGCUAGAGUUACUAAGACUCGGGUGUAGACUUGAAAUUUGCUAACAGAGUGGAUCUUAAGUGUCCUCACCACCACCAUCCCUCCAAAAAAAGGUAACUAAGUAAGGUGGUGGGUGUAUUAAUUAACUUAAUUAUGAUAUUCCUUUCAUAACGUAUACAUAUUUUAAAUCGUCGCAGUGGACACUUUAAAAAAAUCACCUUGUACAACGUUAAAAGAAAAAGCAACUUGAUUGGUAGGUUUAGGGAUGCCAAUAACUUUAUUUUUAUUUACUUAUUU